UAGUUCUAAAUUUUUUACCCAUCUCGCCAUUUGCUUCUGCCUCCAAAUUCGAUAUACCCACAAAAAAAAUAUUCUUGCUACCCAUUUGUUGCUUCCUUCAACAACUGAAUUCAACAUAGCAAUUUGACCAAAUCAAAACCUCAAUAAAUAGAAAGAUCGAAGCCGAUAAUCUCUCAUUUUGUAGCACAAAAUCGAACCAAAACCCCCAGCAAAAUCGAACACUAAAAACCUUAUAAAAUUGAGCAAAAACCCCCCAAUUCGAGAAGAAGUUCGCUGUAUAAACCCCCAACAAAUUCGAACCAUGCAAACUUCAAAAAAAUCGAACAUUUUCUAGACAAAACCCCCCCAAUUUGAGCAGAAAUUCUAACCUCAACCCCCAGCAAUUUCAAACCCUGAAACCCCAAAAAAAUUGAACAUUUUUGAGCCAAAAACCCCCCAAUUCAAGCAGAAAUUCAAACCUAAAACCCCAAAAAAUAUGAACCCUUGUUUUCUUUAUGAUUUUUGUUGAUUUAAUGGCUGAAUUUUGCCACAAUUCCAGGUUUUUUUCCCCUUAUUUUAGGGUUUUGUGUUAUUUUUUAUUGGGUGCUCUUCAAUUGUUGUUUUCAAUGCAUUUAUUGAUAUAAUAUUUGAAUUUUGCCUCUAACUUUGGGAUAUGUUUGGCUUUCUUGGGUUAUUGUGAUGUUUUAUUAUUUCAAAUCGCUUGUGUUUUGGAAUUGUUAUUAGAAAAGUGAUGCUUUACAGAUUUGAUAAAGAAGGAAAUCGAUGGAAAGAAAGGGGUAGGUACAUUGAAGUUUCUAAAGCAUAAGGUUUAUGGGAAAGUUUCUAAAGCAGCACUUAAAGAACUCCCUGUAAAAAGAAGAGGCCGAGAAAAAGACAUUGAUUAGAUUGCCAGUAUAUGCUCCAUGUAUAUACCCUUGAGAAAGUGAGAAACAUUCCAAUGUUGCGUUUGUAGCUGAUUGUAUGCCUUGUUUUCUAUCACAAGAAAGAGAAUCUACAUGAGUGUGACUACUACGUCAUGCGUUAUAUGUACGAAAUCCUUGAACAUCAUCAUAACAGUGAGGAUCUUAUUAAGGAAUUUUCAAGAACUACACCGUAUAGCGAGGAGGAGAUAAAUCAGAUUCGAGAUAUUUGGGCCAAGUAUUUAAUAUUUAAUGUUGAACAUUAGAUUUACACUUAACAAAUAUUGGACUCUUAUUUUGGAUUAUAGGCUGGACAUGAAUGAAUUUGGUUAAUUGUUGUUGGGAUAAUGAGUAAAAUGUCAAUGAUAUUGAGAUGUAAACUUAUUGGACAUGUUGUUAAUAUAAUGCCGUCAUUCCCAAUUUUAUGGGUAGGCCAAAA